rnacentral:rRNA from 1 species
GACGAACGCUGGCGGCGUGCCUAAUACAUGCAAGUUGAGCGAUGAAGAUUGGUGCUUGCACCAAUUUGAAGAGCAGCGAACGGGUGAGUAACGCGUGGGGAAUCUGCCUUUGAGCGGGGGACAACAUUUGGAAACGAAUGCUAAUACCGCAUAACAACUUUAAACAUAAGUUUUAAGUUUGAAAGAUGCAAUUGCAUCACUCAAAGAUGAUCCCGCGUUGUAUUAGCUAGUUGGUGAGGUAAAGGCUCACCAAGGCGAUGAUACAUAGCCGACCUGAGAGGGGGAUCGGCCACAUUGGGACUGAGACACGGCCCAAACUCCUACGGGAGGCAGCAGUAGGGAAUCUUCGGCAAUGGACGAAAGUCUGACCGAGCAACGCCGCGUGAGUGAAGAAGGUUUUCGGAUCGGAAAACUCUGUUGGUAGAGAAGAACGUUGGUGAGAGUGGAAAGCUCAUCAAGUGACGGUAACUACACAGAAAGGGACGGCUAACUACGUG